UUAUUAGAAUUGAAUUGAGAGAGGCAGGGGCACAAGAAUGGCCGAGACAAGAUGCUGAGUAGUUGAAAUUAAUGACUCGUGGAGCUGAUCUCCUGCCAAGGGCUACACCAGCUCCCGGGAGGAAUCCACCACUCUGGCCAGUGGCCCAGCACUGCGGAAGCUGCAGUUCAGAUGGGCAGCACUGAAAAAUCACAAAUCUGAGAAACCCAGGACGAUCCCAUGGGCAUGGAGAUUGCUGCAUGGGCCAGAACCCAAGGCCCAAGGGCACAGAGUUCGCCUUCUCUAGACCUUGCGAAACGCUGGCCGUCCUUCCUGGUGGCAAGUUCAGAGGAUCGCGGCACACCCCCCACAGAGCAGGUGGAUCUGGCCUUCACACAUGAUGAGCUUUCUCCACGUCCUCAGCCAGGAAUGCACAGGACCCCAUGUUUCGAUGGUUUAACCUCUGAAAUGUAUGAGGAAGCCCGCCCAGGCAGACGCGGUGAGGCGGCUGUGUUCUGUCCCCAGGUGACCAACUGCCUCUGUAAGGUGAAGUGGCAACAAAUGGUAAAGAAAAUGAUCCACGUGCUCCCCAUUCCUCACAGGAAGAAGGAGUGAGAAUCAAAUGAAAUCAUGUGUGCAAAAGUGCUCUGUAAACUCUGAAGCCCAGUAAUGGACCCUGUUGUUUUCUCCACCUGGCAACUUCUUUCCAUUACCCAUCUGUGUGAUUCUGGCUACCGAUCGCAGUCCUUUCUCCUCGGCCCAAAUAGUGAGAAAGCGG
rnacentral:lncRNA from 1 species